UAAAACUAAACUUCGGAGCCAAGCAGUCACGGUGGGAAAAUGACCACUUAAAGAUUGCCAAGAGAAAAGACAAGCACGUUGAACUUCAAAUGGUGAUGGAGAGACCAGGCACGGGGCAAGGCCUAGGAGAGUGGUUACCCAUGGGGUUUUCAAGUUAACAGUCUUGGAUCAAAAGGCAGAGUCUUUUUGUUACUUUGGUUGUGACCUCAGACAAAUCAUGCAAUUUCUCUCAAAGUGAUUUAUGUCAUCUCUGCCAUCAGAAUAAUAGCACCAUGUACCCGCACUGGUAACAUUUAAGGCAGCUGUAAAUGUUAUAUUUAUUUCUGUGAUUCUUUAAUAUUUGUCUCCUCUUUCAGACAUUAAGUUCCUUUAAAUCAAGGCCCUGCUCAUCCUUAUAUCUCCAGCAUCAAUCACAUGCCUGGCACACAGCAGGCACUCAAUGAUGAUUUGUUACAUAAGAUCCUGUUAUACUGGAAAAUUAUGGAGAGCAAAUGACACAAUCGAUACAGUGUUUAGCCCAGUGCCUUCACAGAGGCAAUCUCCAAAACAUGUGAGAUCAUUGGUGGUGUUAUAAUUAUUAUUUGCAUUAGAUCAUGUCUGUUAAGUAAAUAAAUUCCAGGCUCUUUCAGGAUAAAGCUCACUAAGUAACUCCAAUUGGGGGACACUAAGGAACUAUAUCUUAUUAGUUCAAUUUCUAGUGGUCAGGCCUAAGGAAAUCAAAGUUUGGCUUCUUAGCCAAAAUAGCAAUUCAUCAGUUUGCAAUAGAAGAUACAUAUAUUUUUUAGGAGUUAGGACCUUCUGAAAUCAAUGUAGUUGGAACACAGUAUUAAUAGUCAGAAAGCUGCUUGUGAGCUCUGAAUCAGAACAGAGGGCACUGUCUCUAUGACCCUGUGGCACGUGUGAGACAGGCCACACACUUACCUGGAUUCCACAAUUCUGGUACCUUUCUGGUGGCUCACAAGUUUGUAUCCACCAAAUACCCCCAAACACAAGGCCUCUCUCUCUCUUACCCUCACCCUGAGAGAAUGAAAGAUGAAUGCUGCCAGAUCUGUCCUGUCUACGCCUAAUAUAAUUUUGAGGCUGAAAGGAACCUUAGGGAACAUCUAUUUCCCUAAACCUGACACCUAUAUAAUAGAUGACAAAAGUGAGUCUCAAAGAAGUGACUUUCCCAGGGAAAUACAGAUGGAUGGUAACAAAGCAAGGGCCUCAUCUUAGUUUCCUAACUUCUAGUCCUUCCAGAUCAUUCUUCAGCUUUAUCUGAUAUUCCCUAUUGUGGUAGUCUGAAAAACGCUCCCCCACUCAUUAUUCACCUCCUAAUCCCUGGCUCCCAUACAUGUUACCUCAUAUGGAAAAGUGUCUUUGCAGGUGUGGUUAAGUUAAGGAUCUUGAGAUGGGGAGAAUAUCCUGGAUUAUCUAAAUGAAUCACAUGUUUCUUUAUAAGAACUAGGGAAAGGGGGAUCAGAAACACACAGAGGAAAAGGUGAUGGGAAGAAGCAGCAGACAGAUUUGAAGAUGCUGGCUUUGAAGACUGCAGUGAUGCAGCCACAAAUCAAAGAAUGCUGGCCGCCAUCAGGAGCUGGAGGAGUCUAGGCGAAAAAGAACCUUCCACUAUCUCUUACUGUGAAGCUCAUUACUGGACCUUUUACAAUCUGUGGAAUCCAAAUGAAGCAAGCACCACCAGGUCUCAGAAGGGAGUGCAGCUCUUCCUAAUAAGAUUUCAAUCAGGCAAUAUAAAAUCUGGAGCCACUAUGUAGAGACAGCUGGUAAUAGUAAAGCAGCCGCAGAAGAAAUUGGAGUAAAAAGAUGCGAAGAGGCCAAAUCCUGAUGACAUUUGCUGAACUGUUGAACCGUUUGGUCUAGCCAGCGCUGCUUCAGGUUUUCCAAGUUUAUAAGCUGGUAAGUCUAGGCUGACACGAAGGCAAUCCUCCUACAGUCCUUUCCUGUGUUGGUGAUGGAUGAAGUUGGUUUGUCUAGAGUGAGGACACAAGGGGUGAGACCAAAUUGAAAGGCUCCUAAGGACAAUGGCCCUUUGUCCUUACACCUGUUGAAGGGGGAAGGCGCCCUUGACAGAGACCUGGUAGGGUUUAUGCGAGGCCGUGCAGUUCAGAUUUCUUACCUGCGUCUCUGACGAUACAUCCCGUUUCAUAAUAUGCCUUCUAGCAAAGGAACUUGGAGACGGAGCCCUCAGUGUUCAAAGGGAAAGGAGCAGAUCCAAGCUUUACUUGAGAAGAAUGAUAGAAUAUAGAAAUCCAUGCUUUUGUGGUUAGUGCUGUCAAGUUGGUUCCGACUCCUAGAGACCCUGUGUACGGAAAUCCAUGUAGAAGAGCAAUAUUACAAAGUUGUGGCAUGUUCCAGCUCUCGACAACACGCCAGCCACAAGUUCCAUGAGGGUCCUGCUCUUCCCUGGUCCUCAGCUUCUAGCUCAGCACGAGGCACAGAGUUAAAUCUCAACAGAGGCGAGACUUGCUGGAUGAACACACCUCCAGGACUUUGCUAAAGAAAAG
rnacentral:lncRNA from 1 species